rnacentral:misc_RNA from 1 species
AAGUCGUAACAAGGUUUCCGUAGGUGAACCUGCGGAAGGAUCAUUAUUGAAUAAACCUGGCUUGUUGUAGCUGGCCCUCUCGGGGGUAUGUGCUCGCUCGUCAUCUUUAUAUUUCCACCUGUGCACCUUUUGUAGACUUGGAUAGUAAAUUUUCGAGGCAACUCGUUUGGGAGGAGUGCUGUGUAGUAAUACCAGCUCUCCUUGCAUUGUCCAGGUCUAUGUUUUUCAUAUACCCCUAAAAUGUAUCAGAAUGUAUCUCUAGGCCUUGUGCCUAUAAACUUAAUACAACUUUCAGCAACGGAUCUCUUGGCUCUC